AAGAAAUAUUUAUCAUUUUGCAAACAAGCUGAUUGUAAUUUUUUCUGAAAUGUAAUGUAAGAUGAAUUAAAUAAUUGGAACUUCAGAUGGAAAAGAGACUGAAAGAUUCAUAUGCUUCAAAUAGUACUACUAAGUUACUUAGAACAGAGCCAUCUGGACAGAAUCCAUGUUGAUAUGUGAAAGAAAGGUAGAAUAAAAAACAUCACCAAACUCAGCAAAUAACUUUCAAAGAAGAUAUCAUUAAUGAAUAAGUGAAGAGAAAAUGCUUGUAGAUAAAGUGGCUUGAUGUCCAGGAUGGGAAAACACUGGUAAAAAUUUCCCUGCUUAAAAGAGGAAAUCAUGUUCUUGAACUUGUAUUACUCAUCAAUGAAAUGCAUAGCUCUGAUAACAAAUACGAAGUAUCCUGAGCCUGCCAUCUAACACAUCCAUAGACAUGCUGUGAAAAAGGAAAGGUAAGAGUGGUCUUAAGGAGAUUUAUUUUGGAGGAUACACCAAAACAACAAUAACACCAACACCAACAAACACUAGAAAAACAAACAAACCAAAAUUCCAUGAAAUUCACCUAGAAUUUUGAGUUCACUUUCCUGACUAGUUUGCACUGUUUAAUUUGUGCAAUAUAGAAACUGUGACUUAAAGAGGCUAAAUAGUUAGUCAGAGAUGACUCAGCUAGGUGGCUAGGAUAGACCAGAUCCAAGUCAAGAAUUCCUUGUGCUUGAAAACAAAUUCUUUUAAUUAGGAUAACCCCAUCAUAGUUAAUGGCUAUUUUCUCAACAAUUCAGUGGCUAUUCAUGAUAUGUGAACAAAUAUGGUAUAAGACUUGUAUUCGAUGCUGUGAUCUGAAUGUGCCCCCAAAGUUCAUAUGUUGAAACUUAAUCACCAGUAUGACAAUAUUAAGAGGUUGGGCCUUUAGGAUAUGGUUAAGUAAUGAGGGUAGAACCCUCAUGAAUGAUAUUAGUGACCUUAUGAAUGGAUUGAAGGGAGUGCCCUAGUCCCUUUUGCCCUUCUGCCUUCUGAUGUGUGAGAACUCAGCAAUAAGGCGCCAUCUUAGAAGCAGAGAGCCUACACCAGACACCAAUUCUGCCAGUGUCUAGAUCUUCAAUUUCCCAGCUUCCAGAACUGUAAGAAAUAAAUAUCUGUUCUUUGUAAAUUACCUAGUCUCAAGUAUUUUGUUAUAGCAGCACAAAUGGACUUAGACACUGGCCAAUUAUCUGGUAUGUUAACAAAAAUGGGGUAAGUGAUCAACAUUUGCACAUGAGUAAGUACACAAAUAAUUAGUUGUCUAGCUCUUAGGAUUUUUAAAAACUAUUACAUGAAAAAAGAAAGUACAAAGUAUAGUGACAUCAUUCUGUAAUAUUAAAUUCACUUGCUCUUCUGAAUCAUGUUUUUGAUUUUUAAUCAAACUAGAUCUGUCUCAGAAUUAAAUAACCAACUCAAUUUCUUUGGGAAAUUAAGCUAUGACUUCUGUGUGUCUAAAAUGCAGUCUUUCUGUGUGUCUGUGAUUCCUUUGGCCGUUAUUCUCAGAUGAUUUUUUUUCUUAUGAUAAUAUAAGUGCUAGUGAUGAAUGCAAUUGACAUCAUAAUACAAUGGCCUCGCAACAACAACAAAAAACCAAACAAGCAAUAAAAGUUAGGAUAGAUUGAAUACAAAUUGCUAUUUGGUAUAAUAUUUAAUGCUUUUUCUGCACUGAAGUUUUCAAAGAGAACAGCAUAUACUCUGUGCUCUUAAGGCUAACAAAACAAAAACACUAGCUUUUUGUACACCUUGAAAUAUAAUACCAUGUAAUUUAUACAUGCUGUUGCCUUGACAGUUUUAUUUCACAUUCCUAAACUUCCCUUGAGCAAAGCUCUUAAAAAUUAUAUCUAGCAGUAGAAAAGUUGGAGUCUUUAAAAACAAAAUCAAAGGAGACAAAACUUGCUUAAAGUCUUAUUGUCUAUUUUCCCAACAUUACCUCUUUGCCCAUAAUCCAGAAGUGAAUGUUCUAUUUCUAAAGUUAUUUUUAGUACAUGCACUUUUCUGCUUCCCUAAUUCUUUUUAAAAUGCAAACUGACAUACAUAUGAACCACCCCCUCUGCCCCCACCCAUAGAAACUCACAAACAUUGAAAAUACUAAUGGGCUCCACAUAGGAGAGAAGACUUAAUUGUUUUUUAAUAAUAGAAUAAAAUUAAGAAGAUUCAAAAGUAACCUAUAUUAUAAAUAUUAAGUUCCCAAGAGAAAUAAAAUGGAUCCAAAAUGAGCUGUUCAUAGAAAUUGUUUCCAUACAUUAGAGGCUAGCAUGAACAGCUGUCUAGAUUUUUAAUUUUUCUGAGAUACCAAACUCAUUUUAGUAAAACAAUUGAAGUAUAAUUUUAAGAUUAUGGUAUCAAAUGAAUAAAAGGUAAAUUAACAUUUCUGCAUAGUCAUAUCGAUGUUAAGUAAACAUAAAUUGGCUAAACAAUUACAUAAACUGUGAGUAUUCACAUUACAAAAAGUGUGACCUCAUUUUGCAAAAUCAUUAACUGCUUCCCUUAAUACACGUAAGCCUUGGAUAACAAAUCAGUAACUGCUUUGCAAAAGUGAAAUGGAGGAAAGGUAGAAAUUUUGAAAAGUAUACCUUUAGGAGCCAUUGCUAAACAAAAUCAUUUGGAAAUGAAACUAACGUUGUAACUCUUAGGCAAUAAAAGGUAAGUUUUAUUAAUAGGUUUCACUUGUUUUUAGAAAUAUAUCUUUCAAUAAAUUCUUUUUUAUUUUUCCUCCGCUGUUGAAUCCAAUGUUUUACAGCAUUUUUCUCCCUUCUUGUUUCUCUCUUCUAUGACACUCCUGAGAAAAUACCCUACUUGAGACCCAAGAUUCUUUAUACUACCUUGUAACCAUUUUCCUUCUCACAAGAAGCCAAUGAAUGAAUGAUUGGUGACUAUAUACAAAGAAACAAAAGGAAGGAGACUACAUGGAAUCUGAUCAUCCUUUGUUAAAUGUUCUCUUU
rnacentral:lncRNA from 10 species